UCCCUGUAGGACUAGUGGUUAGGCCACAGCGCUCACACAGCAGUGGCCCGGGUUCGAUCCCUGACCAGGGAA